UACGGAGUGUGCGAGCGUUACUCGGAAUUACUGGGUGUAAAGGGCGUGUAGGCGGGGGAACAAGUCAGAUGGGAAAUCCCGAGGCUUAACUUCGGAGCUGCAUCUGAAACUGUUCUUCUUGAGGGUCGGAGAGGAAAGGGGAAUUCCCAGUGUAGCGGUGAAAUGCGUAGAGAUUGGGAGGAACACCGGUGGCGAAGGCGGCUUUCUGGACGAUAACUGACGCUGAGGCGCGAAAGCGUGGGGAGCAAACAGG
rnacentral:rRNA from 1 species